CCAUCCCGCGUGCAGGAUGCUGCCCUAUGGGUUGUAACUGCUUUUAGCAGAGAAGAAAAGCUGACAUUUAUGUUGGUCUGACGGUAUCUGCAGAAUAAGCACCGGCUAACUCCGUGCCAGCAGCCGCGGUAAUACGGAGGGUGCAAGCGUUAUCCGGAAUCACUGGGUUUAAAGGGUGCGUAGGCGGAAAAUUAAGUCAGUGGUGAAAUCUUGUCGCUUAACGAUAAAAUUGCCAUUGAUACUGGUAUUCUUGAAUUGGGUUGAGGUUAGCGGAAUGUGACAUGUAGCGGUGAAAUGCAUAGAUAUGUCAUGGAACACCAAUUGCGAAGGCAGCUAACUGGGCCUUGAUUGACGCUGAGGCACGAAAGCGUGGGUAGCGAACAGGAUUAGAUACCCUGGUAGUCCACGCCCUAAACGAUGCUACUCGAUGUUUGGACUUUAGUUUGAGCUCCAAGGGAAACCGAUA
rnacentral:rRNA from 1 species